CCUACGGGAGGCAGCAGUGGGGAAUUUUGGACAAUGGGGGCAACCCUGAUCCAGCAAUGCCGCGUGAGUGAAGAAGGCCUUCGGGUUGUAAAGCUCCUUUGUCAGGGAAGAAACACCGGCUCUAACACAGUCUGGGAAUGACGGUACCUGAAGAAUAAGCACCGGCUAACUACGUGCCAGCAGCCGCGGUAAUACGUAGGGUGCGAGCGUUAAUCGGAAUUACUGGGCGUAAAGCGUGCGCAGGCGGUUAUACAAGACAGGCGUGAAAUCCCCGGGCUUAACCUGGGAAUGGCGCCUGUGACUGUAUAGCUAGAGUGUGUCAGAGGGGGGUAGAAUUCCACGUGUAGCAGUGAAAUGCGUAGAUAUGUGGAGGAAUACCAAUGGCGAAGGCAGCCCCCUGGGAUAACACUGACGCUCAUGCACGAAAGCGUGGGGAGCAAACAGGAUUAGAUACCCUGGUAGUCCACGCCCUAAACGAUGCUGACUAGUUGUUCGGGAUUUACAUCCUGAGUAACGUAGCUAACGCGUGAAGUCGNGCGCCGNGGGAGGUAACGGUCGCGAGAGUAAACGUUACGAAGAAGUUAGAGGCGNGAGAGNGCGACGGACGACGACGAGGGAGGAGG
rnacentral:rRNA from 1 species